rnacentral:rRNA from 1 species
UACGUAGGGUGCGAGCGUUAUCCGGAUUCACUGGGUUUAAAGGGUGCGUAGGCGGGCAGAUAAGUCAGUGGUGAAAUCUCCGGGCUUAACUCGGAAACUGCCGUUGAUACUAUUUGUCUUGAAUACUGUGGAGGUAAGCGGAAUAUGUCAUGUAGCGGUGAGAUGCUGAGAUAUGACAUAGAACACCAAUUGCGAAGGCAGCUUACUACACAGCGAUUGACGCUGAGGCACGAAAGCGUGGGGAUCAAACAGG